AAAAAGGGUGCUCGCUACUUCGAUAGCGCGUCGCUUUGUUUUUCGGAUCGGCGGGGUAUGGCUAUCAAGACAUACCCAGCACGUAAUUUUUGUAACUGUGGGGUUGUUGGCUGCCAUUUAUAAGCACCGACACCUCC